rnacentral:misc_RNA from 1 species
AACGCACAUUGCGCCCGCCAGUACUCUGGCGGGCAUGCCUGUUCGAGCGUCAUUACAUCCCUCAAGCCCCAGCGGCUUGGUGUUGGGCUUCGGCCGUCCUCAGCGGCGGCCGUGCCCCAAAUACAGUGGCGGUCUCGCCCCCGGCUCCUCUGCGUAGUAGUAACAUCUCGCACUGGGACGGAGCGAAGGCCACGCCGUAAAACAACCCAACUUUCUGAAUGUUGACCUCGGAUCAGGUAGGAAUACCCGCUGAACUUAA